UUCCGGUUGAUCCUGCCGGAGGCCAUUGCUAUCGGAGUCCGAUUUAGCCAUGCUAGUCGAGCGAGGUUAGCCCUCGCGGCGAACAGCUCAGUAACACGUGGCCAAGCUACCCUGCAGAGGGGGACAGCGUCGGGAAACUGACGGGAAUCCCCCAUACCGGUCUCACGCUGGAAUGCCGAGACCGACAAACGCUCCGGCGCUGCAGGAUGCGGCUGCGGCCGAUUAGGUAGUCGGUGGGGUAACGGCCCACCGAGCCGAUAAUUGGUACGGGGUGUGAGAGCACGAGCCCGGAGACGGAAUCUGAGACAAGAUUCCGGGCCCUACGGGGCGCAGCAGGCGCGAAACCUUUACACUGCACGAACGUGCGAUAAGGGGACUCCGAGUGCGAGGGCAUACAGUCCUCGCUAUUGUGUACCGUAGGGUGGUACACGACCAAGAGCUGGGCAAGACCGGUGCCAGCCGCCGCGGUAAUACCGGCAGCUCGAGUGAUGGCCGAUUUUAUUGGGCCUAAAGCGUCCGUAGCUGGCCCUGCAAGUCCGUCGGGAAAUCCACUCGCCUAACGAGUGGGCGUCCGGCGGAAACUACAGGGCUUGGGACCGGAAGACUUGAGGGGUACGUCUGGGGUAGGAGUGAAAUCCUGUAAUCCUGGACGGACCGCCGAUAGCGAAAGCACCUCAAGACGACGGAUCCGACAGUGAGGGACGAAAGCUAGGGUCUCGAACCGGAUUAGAUACCCGGGUAGUCCUAGCUGUAAACGAUGUUCGCUAGAUGUGGCACAGGCUACGUGCCUGUGCUGUGUCGUAGGGAAGCCGAGAAGCGAACCGCCUGGGAAGUACGUCCGCAAGGAUGAAACUUAAAGGAAUUGGCGGGGGAGCACUACAACCGGAGGAGCCUGCGGUUUAAUUGGAUUCAACGCCGG
rnacentral:rRNA from 1 species